rnacentral:rRNA from 1 species
AGAGCGAACGCUGGCGGCAGGCCUAACACAUGCAAGUCGAGCGGGCAUCGCAAGAUGUCAGCGGCAGACGGGAGAGUAACACGUGGGAACAUGCCCUUCGGUUCGGAAUAACUCAGGGAAACUUGAGCUAAUACCGGAUACGUCCGUAAGGAGAAAGAUUUAUCGCCGAAGGAUUGGCCCGCGUCCGAUUAGCUAGUUGGUGAGGUAACGGCUCACCAAGGCGACGAUCGGUAGCUGGUCUGAGAGGAUGAUCAGCCUCACUGGGACUGAGACACGGCCCAGACUCCUACGGGAGGCAGCAGUGGGGAAUAUUGGACAAUGGGCGCAAGCCUGAUCCAGCCAUGCCGCGUGGGUGAUGAAGGCCCUAGGGUUGUAAAGCCCUUUCGGCGGGGAAGAUAAUGACGGUACCGCAGAGAAGCCCGGCUAACUCGUGCCAGCAGCCGC